CUCCCAGCCAGCCUUUGCCACACACAUAUGUACAGUUGUCAGCCAUUCUCUUACAGUUUGCAGAUGCCUAGAACGUGCUCCAUCCUUCACACCAACAAACCUCCUUAUGAUAUCAUAUGCGACCUCGCAGGACUGUGAUGGUGAACCUACUACACACCAUUCUGAAGAAGAUUGAAGAAUCCUAAUCUAGGGAGAUGUUUUUAUUGUUGUACGAUC